AAUAACUCUGGAUGGCAGAUAAAUCAUAGGGUGGAGAGAAAGGAGUAGAAGGCUUCAAUGAUGAUACCCUGUUUCCGUCAAUGACAGAUAAGGCCCGAAGAUCCAGACUGAUGAUAAGCCUAAAGCUGGUGGAGGACAAUCACUACUGGAUUCUACCACAGAAGGCUGCAAACACGGCUGAGGAUUUUUACUAAAGUUACAAAAAUCAUUAUCGUUCUGGGGAAUCCACCUGCCAUGGUGAGUAGCACUACAAGAGAGGCCCAUGCAGCAAAGA